rnacentral:rRNA from 1 species
AGCUCCAGUAGCGUAUAUUAAAGUUGUUGCAGUUAAAAAGCUCGUAGUUGGAUUUCUCGAUUACCGAGACGGCCCGGUCUCUCCAAGAGUACUGUGUGCUGUUUGUGCGUAUUCGAUCCUUCCAGAAAGCUGUGCCUACCGCUUCCGCGGCCGGGCGCUGUGAUCUGGAUCUUUUACUUUGAAAAAAUUAGAGUGUUCCAAGCAGGCUUACGCUUUGAAUACAUUAGCAUGGAAUAAUAAUAUAGGACUUUGGUUCUAUUUUGUUGGUUUCUAGGACUAAAGUAAUGAUUGAUAGGGAUAGUUGGGGGUGCUAGUAUUCAGCGGCCAGAGGUGAAAUUCUUGGAUUCGCUGAAGACUAACUACUGCGAAAGCAUUCACCAAGGAUGUCUUCUUUAAUCAA